GAAGAGUACCAGAAGAGUCUGCCAGAGCAGUACCAUCUGGGUCUGGAUCAAAAACGCAGAAAAUACGUGGUUGGAGAGCUUAUCGGGAAUUCUGCCGAUUUCACGACUAUGCAGUGAGGUGCUGGGGCUGAUGGUGAUGAUCUGAAGCAUGCUCAGGAGAGAGGUGGUGCAGAUCAAGAGGCCCCUCAUUACCUUGUAUAUGUAGAACACAGCCUUACAUCUGAAGUUAUUCUGAAAAUUCUGUGACUCAAACACGUCUAGAGACAAUAACUCUGCUGCCAUGACUAGCAUCACUAUGUAGACAGAAACCAAGUGACAGAUGAUCAGGUCAUGGUUUUUUAGGCUUGUGAUCCUUAAAGAAUGUAAAAAUGUGCCAGAGAAGAAGAAAGAUGUUGGCUGAGAUUCCAAUGCCAGCUUGAAAACAAAAGGCCUUUUGAAAGAUAACAUGUGAAAUGUGUGUUCAUCCUAAUGACAUAGAAGAAACAUUUUGAAGACCUGAAAAAAGUAGAUCUGUGUCAUCAAUGUCCUUUUGUCAGUGUUCAAAAUUAUUACCAUUAUUAUUUUUAUUUUACUCUCAUUUCUUGAUUAACCCCAUCUUAUAUAAAUUCUUGAUAAUGUAUCUCCUAUACUAUUUCCUAAA
ensembl:lncRNA novel transcript